rnacentral:rRNA from 1 species
GUGUCAGCCGCCGGGGUAAUACGGAGGAUGCGAGCGCUAUUCGGAAUCAUUGGGUUUAAAGGGUCUGUAGGCGGGCUAUUAAGUCAGGGGUGAAAGGCUUCAGCUUAACUGAGAAAUUGCCUUUGAUACUGGUAGUCUUGAAUAUCUGUGAAGUUCUUGGAAUGUGUAGUGUAGCGGUGAAAUGCUUAGAUAUUACACAGAACACCGAUUGCGAAGGCAGGGGACUAACAGACAAUUGACGCUGAGAGACGAAAGCGUGGGGAGCGAACAGGAUUAGAUACCCCCGUAGUC